GAUGAACGCUGGCGGCGUGCUUAACACAUGCAAGUCGAACGAGGAUUUAACGGAAUGCGAUUCGUCAAAUGAAAUUAAAUCCGAGUGGCGGACGGGUGAGUAACGCGUGGAUAACCUGCCUCACACAGGGGGACAACAGUUGGAAACGACUGCUAAUACCGCAUAACACAAGUAAUUCGCAUGAAUAACUUGCCAAAGAUUAUAUCGGUGUGAGAUGGAUCCGCGUCUGAUUAGCCAGUUGGCGGGGUAACGGCCCACCAAGGCGACGAUCAGUAGCCGACCUGAGAGGGUGACCGGCCACAUUGGGACUGAGACACGGCCCAAACUCCUACGGAGGCAGCAGUGGGAAUAUUGGCACAAUGGGGGAAACCCUGAUGCAGCGACGCCGCGUGAGCGAAGAAGUAUUCGGUAUGUAAAAGCUACUAUCAGCAGGGAAGAAGAAAAUGAACGGUACCUGACUAAGAAGCACCGGCUAAAAUACGUGCCAGCAGCCG
rnacentral:rRNA from 1 species